rfam:Picea glauca, whole genome shotgun sequence.
ACAUGCCUACAACAUAGCGUUAAUGCACCAGAUCCCAUUAGAGCUAUGCAGUUAAGCGCACUCAAGUUAGAGUAGUAUUGGGAUGGGUGACUGCUCGUGAAGUCCUAGUGUUUUACAUGCC